CCUACGGGUGGCAGCAGUGGGGGAUAUUGCACAAUGGGGGGAACCCUGAUGCAGCGAAGCCGCGUGGGUGAUGAAGCGCCUCGGCGCGUAAAGCCCUGUUAGCAGGGAAGAUAAUGACGGUACUUGUGGAGGAAGCCACGGCUACCUACGUGCCAGCAGCCGCGGUAAUACGUAGGGUGCUAGCGUUAUCCGGAAUUACUGGGCGUAAAGGGUGCGUAGGUGGUUUAUUAAGUCAGAGGUGAAAGUCUACGGCUCAACCGUAGUAAGCCUUUGAAACUGGGGAACUUGAGUGCAGGAGAGGAGAGUGGAAUUCCUGGUGUAGCGGUGAAAUGCGUAGAUAUUAGGAGGAACACCAGUUGCGAAGGCGGCUCUCUGGACUGUAACUGACACUGAGGCACGAAAGCGUGGGGAGCAAACAGGAUUAGAUACCCUUGUAGUC
rnacentral:rRNA from 1 species